ACCAUGACCUGGAGGUCUCGUCCGUUUGGACCUUUGGUCUAGUUUUUAAAACAUUGGCUUUUGGUUUUAGAUGGCAGUUUGGAGGGUAGAUUUGACCUGUAUAUAGGUGUUUUCAUUUUUGCAAUUAUGAUCUAUUAAGCAUAUGAUAUUCACAUUUCAGCCUUAAGCAUGGAUCCAGAAGCCGCAAAAAGUGCACGAGAAGCUCUGGACCUGGCAUUUCACAUGUCCAACAUACUCGACACGGGCUUAGACCGUCACACAGUUUCUAUUCUCAUUGCUCUCUGCGAUCUAGGGGUAAACCCCGAAGCUCUUGCUGCUAUUGUCAAGGAACUUAGAAAGGAGAGGCUCCCUGUUUCAUCAUUGCAUCCUACACCUCCUUGAUCAUGAUGUAUUUUGUUGCAUCCAACAGCACAAAUCUGUUCAAGUUGUCUAUAAAUUGAGGAUGGAGAAGAGUUGCGAUGCAGAAAUUAAGACCAACAAAUUAAAGUUUGGGUUUGACACAGGGGGGAAAAUUCAUGCUUCUAUUAUAUUUCCAUGGAAAAGCCAAAAGUGGGAUUUAUGCAAUUGUUUAGAACAUUUCUACAUAUGUCGUCAAGUGUGUGAAUGGAAGUAAUACCGUAAUGUCUAUACUCUGUACAAUAUUAGAAUGCAGCUGGGUCUUUUCUAGUUGAAGCCAUAGUUAUCAUUGUUGUCUUUUCGGCACUUGAGAUCUAUGUACUGUAGCACUGACACUACAAAUUAAAUGUGUGUCCAGUGUCCGACACGACAUUAACACAUCUAUUACAUUCGAUUACUUCUGGUUUUUUAAAUUAUUACCGGUAUCGGUGUCGUGCCUGGUGUCUUUUGUGUUAGUGCUUGAGAAUGUUCCCUCAGCUUUAUAGUGUAUGUAAAGUUAACUAUUUUUCUUUUGGCUUCUAAAGAUAUCCCUGUGUAGAAAUAGUCUAUGUCAAGAAAUAUCAGGAGGUUAUUUAUGUCCACUUCUGGCUUCUAAGAUAACCACUUUUAAUUCUACUUGCAAAAUGGCUUCUUACUUCUUAGUUCUGUAUUAUAGGCCUAUAAUUGUAAAGGAUUGAUCUGUAAUUAUAAUUUUUUUUAGCAAAAAAAAGUUGUAUGCCGACUACAGAAUCAAAAUACAUUUGCAUGUCAAAAACAAAACA